ACACUUCUCGGAUGGAGAAAUAAAAAUCUAUAUGCGAUUGAUUUCAAGUGGGUACUACUGUCCUAUUAGUCUAUAUACACCUCACCUAAUAGUUAUUGGUGAGUACAAACCAAUGAGUGGAUAACACUUUAUCCAUUGCUUUACUAAGCAAGAUGCAGUAGGCUUGGUCUCUAAGUCUUGUGGCCUCACCUAAUAGUUAUUAGAACAUUUCUUAGUUAAGUUAGACCCAUCAUUCACCAGC
rnacentral:lncRNA from 1 species